rnacentral:rRNA from 1 species
GAUCCUGGCUCAGGAUGAACGCUGGCGGCGUGCUUAACACAUGCAAGUCGAACGAUGAAGCCCAGCUUGCUGGGUGGAUUAGUGGCGAACGGGUGAGUAACACGUGAGUAACCUGCCCUUAACUCUGGGAUAAGCCUGGGAAACUGGGUCUAAUACCGGAUAGGAGCGCCUACCGCAUGGUGGGUGUUGGAAAGAUUUAUCGGUUUUGGAUGGACUCGCGGCCCAUCAGCUUGUUGGUGAGGUAAUGGCUCACCAAGGCGACGACGGGUAGCCGGCCUGAGAGGGUGACCGGCCACACUGGGACUGAGACACGGGG